rnacentral:rRNA from 1 species
UACGUAGGGACCGAGCGUUGUCCGGAAUCAUUGGGCGUAAAGAGCUCGUAGGCGGUUCGGUAAGUCGGGUGUGAAAACUCUGGGCUCAACCCAGAGCCGCCACCCGAUACUGCUGUGACUCGAGUGCGGUAGGGGAGCGGGGAAUUCCUGGUGUAGCGGUGAAAUGCGCAGAUAUCAGGAGGAACACCAGUGGCGAAGGCGCCGCUCUGGGCCGUGACUGACGCUGAGGAGCGAAAGCGUGGGUAGCAAACAGG